UGUUCCUCACUGUCAUCACGUCCCUCCCCCCCCCAUUAAAGUUCGGCCAUGUGGGAUCGUCGUGUCUCGUGUUUCCUUUCCGAUUCUGAGGAAGAAACAUUUUGGUGCAGUGUGAUUCUUCGAUCGGCUUGCCCUGGACCCGAGGCCACGACUCCGGUCUUGGUGUCAUUGGAGCUGCGGGCCUCCCUGGGAUGCAAUCGGAACAGAGGACCUAUGGCGACCCCAUGUGUUCCACUUGUCUGAACAUGGCCCUGCGCGACCACCACCGGCUGAUUCGUGAAUUUUUCCUUCGGCUAGCUUACCGCCCCCUUUACCCGGAGAUUCAUCUUACGAUGACCCAGCUACUCAAAAGCCAGACAGAUGUGAAUUCAAUCAGCUACCUCAGAAUGUCAGCGAACAGGACAUGAUCAACAGGACAUCACCAGGACAUAUCGGAUAUUCCCCAGACCCCUCGACACCCAAAGCCAGCAGGAAGCAGUUAUGAGAGACCGGGCUACACCCCCAUUCCCUACCCAUUAAGACCCUCACCCCCCAAUUUUUUAAUAAAACCAAAAGGAUGGAAUGUUGUUCUUUUGGGAGGGUUCCCAUCUCCCAAAAGGCCCCUGCUGUAGAGGCUAUAGCCUCCCACCUAACCUGGGAAGACCACAUUUCCCAGAAGCGCUCAGUGUUCCACGAAAAGGCCACAUAUGCGCAAAGAGUACAGCGUCCCACCAGACCACAUUUCCCAGAAGCACUCAGCAUUUGACAAAAUAGCCACACAUGUGCAGGAAACACAUUUCCCAGGUGUGCCUAGCCUCCUUUAAAAAGCCGAAGACACCAUGGCCCUACCCCUUUUCAUCCCCAGUUCCUCACUGUCAUCACGUCCCUCCCCCCCAUUAAAGUUCAGCCAUGUGGGAUUGUUGUGUCUCGUGUUUCCUUUCUGAUUCCGUGGAAGAAACAGCAUGAAUAAUAUUGAUGCUGAAUGGGAUUCGGUAGUGCAUAUGUGCCACAUUUCCGCUAUCCAUUCAUCAAUUGAAGGACAUUUAGAUUGCUUCCAUUUCCAAGAACCUUCAUCUAGCGAUGGAUGGAGAUAGAGACAGAGACCCACACUGGAGCAUCGGACUAAGCCCCCAAAGUCCCAAUGAGGAGCAGAAGGAGGGAGAACAUGAGCAUGGAAGUCAAAACCACGAGAGGUGCACCCAUCCAUAUAGACAGUGGGGCUGAUCUAUUGGGAGCUCACCAAGGCCAGCUGGACUGUGACUGAAAAAGCAUGGGAUAAAACCGGACUCUCUGAACAUGGCAGACAAUGAGGGCUGAUGAGAAGCCAAGGACAAUGGCAUGGUGUUUUGUUCCUACUUCAUGUUCUGGCUUUGUGGCAGCCUAGCCAGUUUGAAUAUUCACCUUCCUAGACCUGGAUGGAGGGGAGAAGA